rnacentral:tRNA from 1 species
GCUUCAGUAGCUCAGUUGGUUAGAGCACAUGACUGUUAAUCAUGGGGUCGCUGGUUCAAGCCCAGCCUGAAGCG